UUAUGAAAAAGAUCCCUGAAAUGCUUUUUCGUUGACAAUUCACAAUUGUAUAAUUGUUUCUGUACAAUAAUUGUAUAAUUGUUUCUGUACACUGUUCUGUACAUCAUUCUGUUCUGUUUCUGUAUUGUUCUGUUUCUGGCCGAAAUAACGUCUUCUGUCACUAACUGUAAAGGAAAAGUGUUGAAAUGCAUGGUUUCCGAAAUGAACGAUUUCCGAAAUGAAUGUUUUCCGAAAUGAAUGAUUUCCGAAAUGAAUGAUUUCCGAAAUGAAUGGUUUCCGAAAUGAUAGGGUGCCAUGUGCUGCUGGAAGCUGUGUUCCAUAUUGUAUCUCAGUUACUUUUAUCCCCAAGGAUUUCGAAUCCUCCCUUGUCCCUUGCGCGAAUCCUGGAGUAACAAGAGGACUUUGUGGCCGGCGAAGCGUGUGCCUUAUUGCCGCACAUCGCUUCCAACAAACCCGAUUGGUUGUGGGUUUGGAAUCUGUGAUAACCGCCGAUUCGGAUGUGCACCGGCAACAUUGUAUUUAUUGAGCAGUUUUUUAUCAUUAGAUGCGAAUGCUUAUGUUCCCGCGGAACUCACCACGCUAUAGCAGAGUUUACCGGCGCUGGUCUCGCUGGCCACGGCUAUCAACAAGUACAACAGCCGCGUCCAAGGCGCGGAAGCCGUUGCCGAUCUGUUUCGGCUCUACCAUGAGCGCUCCAUCCAACCGGAAAUGCCGCCAAAUAUGAGUCUGCAUCUGGAACGUGUAUUGGAGAUGUGCCGGCGAAAUCGUGAACGGAAGUAUUUCGAUGGUUCGCUAAGGGACCUGGAUUCACUUGUCCUCAUUGACAUUACGCAUACAAGCUGGAAAUGGCAGCUUGUCGCGGCAUUAUUGAACGCCGAUGCCAUCCGUGCUAGUGAUGCUGGUGGCUACAGAUUUCACCGGGUAUUUGAAAACGUCCCACGAAGAUCCCGGCGCUGAUGUGCUUUCAACCCGUUGAAACUGUUAUCAUCCUGCUCUUAGGGUUGUUUUCUUUUUUUUGUGGGAAAAGUAUCAUGCUAUCCGGAGGGAGAGAAAAUGCUACGGAAAACCGGCGUUGUUGAUAAUAUUACGUUUGGGCGUCUGGUUUUCAUAGAGGACAUCCAUGAAUCGUACAUCAAACUAAUUAUCACGAUGCUAGAUUACCGGGAUGAUGUGUUAUCAAGAGGAUUACUACGCAGAGCCUUGAACCUUUGUUCACCGUUGAGCGGGACACUGAUGACGUUAGUGGGCAACGUAAUAGGCUCUCCGGCGUUACGCGACGCUGCAUUUGCGGACGCUUUUACGCUCGUCUGCCGUGAUUAUCUGAAUGGGGAAUGAAGUUGUUAAUUGGACGGAUGGCAGGAUGCGAACAUCACUGUCGCUCAGACAGCCGUGGAAACCAUCGAUGUAAUUCGCGAGGAAAUGCCCCAUUUGGUGAGCGUUAAAGUUAUCCGGGCAACGUCCACUGAGCCAUUAACCAUCAGUCCAAAUGGGCGCUGUGGACUCUUGGUCACAUCGGCCGAACUGUCGAUGGAAUGUGGAUGCUGAACGAGUACGAUGUGCUGGAUAUGGUCGUUAACAUUGCGGCGGAACAUCCGAAUUUAUCCGUCCGUGGGACUGCGUAUUUCGUUCUGGGAUUAUGGUCAACAACGGAACGUGGCGCUGAUCUCCUGAAAUCACGCGAUUGGUUGGCCAUCCGGCACAAUCGCCAUGAACUGUGUGUGGCCACUGGUCGAUCAGCGGGUGCAGUACUUACACGUGGGACAAUGCGUCCGAAUGCAUCACCGCUGCCCUGCCCAGUUUCAAUGCGUCGCCUCGGCCGCAGCGCUUAAUCUCCUUCACCACGGCGCCUGCGCAUGAUUUGCGAGUGCCCUCGCCGUUGUUUGCCGAGAAAGAAGCCAAUGUCUUCUUCACGAAAGAUGGAUGCUAUUUGGAUGGGCCUUUACCCCACAAAACUAGUCGCGGCGAAUCCGGGUUUGAGUCGUCCGAUGGUCUGGAUUCAGCGCCAGAUGGCAUUGUGAAGGAUCACAGAAUGGAUCGCAGUGCCAGCGCCAAAAGGACGGAUACGGAUAGCUUAGCAGCUUUGGAUCGCCGGAUGACUUGAUUGAUGGCUCGCCUACUCUGCAGUCCUGUUUUCAGCGCUCUCCGGAAAGCCAUGGCAGCUCCGCCGUGGAACGAUCCCGUCGCACUUUGCUACGGAUGAAAUCCCAUCGCGAUACAUCAUUUAACGAAGUGCGGCACCGGCUUAAUGAAGCGCGGCAUUCCUUUCGCUCGCUGGUUCACACCAUGAAGGUGCACAGCACCUUUCUGCAUCGGAAGAGUUCCGUGCACCGUGCCAGUCCUCCUCAUCCCAGUGCACCGAGUUCAACAUCUUCUUCCAUUGUACCUGGAGAGUCCUCUGCCAAGGAAGAAAAAUACAUCGAGAUCUGUGUGCCAUUAAGACGGAAUAUGUGGCGAAAGCAGCCAGUUCGUAAAUCUGCCCAUAAAGAUGAAUACGUUGUGGGAAAUCUUGUGUCACGGAAGCUGAGCCAUCAAGUGGAUCUCAGAAACGGUUUGGAGCUAUACUCUGUGUCCAACUGUAUGUGUCCAACUGUAUGUGCUCAAUGUUGGCCGUGGAUCGGUCGAGCGCAGAAACAGCGAAACGUCCGGUGGUUGUCAAGCGAAAGGAAGUUUUGCGAUUCAUCAGCGCCUUGGCGACGCCGCUCGGACACAAGGCGGCGGAACAAGGACUGUUAACGUUACAAUUGAAAAACCAGCUCGGCUGAUUUCGUUUCUUGAUCCUUGUUUGUCUCAAAUUGUCCAUGCAUUCGCCGCAGGGUACAAGAGCUGGUUUUGGAUUUACAUCUCCAUAAGUGUCUGCUUGAACCUCUGGAAUCCGAAGUGCGAUCGGUGAGCACUCCCGUGCCUGAAGAGAAUUUAAACAGUGAUGAUGCUCCGCAGAUUGCGGAGUUUGUCAAUAUAGUUUUAUUACCAUGUUUCGUUUCUGUGCACUACACGGUCUCUGAAGCGUUUCUGCGAGUUUUAGACGCUGCAUUGGCAGGAAUGCAGCCUUAUGCGAUUUUUUGGUUGACUUUUCCGGUUAAAGUUGGCUUGAAAACCGU